AGAGUUUGAUCUUGGCUCAGAACGAACGCUGGCGGCGUGCUUAAUACAUGCAAGUCGUGCGAGAAAGUGUAGCAAUACAUGAGUAAGCGGCGAACGGGUGAGUAACACGUAAACAAUCUUCCUCUAAAUCGGGAGUAACUCUGCCAACGCGGGGCUAAUACCGGAUGUGAGUUACGGAUCGCAUGAUCUGUAAUUUAAAGGUGACCUCUACUUGUAAGUUACCGUUUAGAGAUGAGUUUGCGUACCAUUAGCUAGUUGGUGAGGUAACGGCCCACCAAGGCUAUGAUGGUUAGCCGGCCUGAGAGGGCGAUCGGCCACAUUGGGACUGAGAUACGGCCCAGACUCCUACGGGAGGCAGUAGUAGGGAAUUUUGCGCAAUGGACGAAAGUCUGACGCAGCAACGCCGCGUGAGUGAUGAAGGUCUUCGGAUUGUAAAGCUCUGUUGGAUGGGAAGAAAGAUUUUGCAGCUAACAUCUGCAGGAUGUGACGGUACCAUUCGAGGAAGCUCCGGCCAACUACGUGCCAGCAGCCGCGUAAUAUGUAGGGAGCUAGCGUUGUUCGGAAUUACUGGGUGUAAAGGGAGAGUAGGCGGAACGGUAAGUUAGGAGUGAAAUGUACGGGCUUAACCCGUAAUCUGCUUUUAAUACUGCCAUUCUUGAGUAUGGGAGAGGAUGAUAGAAUUCCAGGUGUAGCGGUGGAAUGCGUAGAUAUCUGGAAGAAUACCAGUUGCGAAGGCGGUCAUCUGGCCCAAUACUGACGCUGAGGCUCGAAAGCUAGGGUAGCAAACAGGAUUAGAUACCCUGGUAGUCCUAGCCGUAAACCAUGGAUACUAGAUGUUGGAGGAGUCAAUCCUUUCAGUGUCGUAGUUAACGCGAUAAGUAUCCCACCUGGGGAGUACGCUCGCAAGGGUGAAACUCAAAAGAAUUGACGGGGGCCCGCACAAGCGGUGGAGCAUGUGCUUUAAUUUGAUGCAACGCGAAGAACCUUACCUGGGCUUGACAUGGGAAUGAAAGUCUGCAGAAACGUAGGCCUUUCCGCAAGGAACAUUCUACACAGGUGCUGCGUGGCUGUCGUCAGCUCGUGUCGUGAGAUGUUGGGUUAAGUCCCGCAACGAGCGCAACCCUCGUCCUUAGUUGCCAUCAGGUAAUGCUGGGAACUCUAAGGAGACUGCCUGGUUUAACCAGGAGGAAGGUGGGGAUGACGUCAAGUCAUCAUGGCUCUUACGUCCAGGGCUAGACACGUGCUACAAUGGCCGGUACAACGGGCUGCACACUGCAAAGUCAAGCUAAUCCCUUAAAACCGGUCUCAGUUCGGAUUGGAGUCUGCAAUUCGACUCCAUGAAGCUGGAAUCGCUAGUAAUCGUGGAUCAGCAUGCCACGGUGAAUACGUUCCCGGGCCUUGUACACACCGCCCGUCAAGCCAUGAAAGAUGGGAGUACCCAAAGCCAUUCAUCUAACCCGCAAGGGAGGGGAAUGCCUAAGGUAAGACCAUUGAUUGGGGCUAAGUCGAAACAAGGUA
rnacentral:rRNA from 1 species